GACGAACGCUGGCGGCGUGCUUAACACAUGCAAGUCGAGCGAGCAGAUUCCCUUCGGGGAUGAAGCUAGCGGCGGACGGGUGAGUAACACGUGGGCAACCUGCCUUAUAGAGGGGGAUAGCCUUCCGAAAGGAAGAUUAAUACCGCAUAACAUCAGAUUAUCGCAUGGUAGACUGAUCAAAGGAGCAAUCCGCUAUAAGAUGGGCCCGCGUCGCAUUAGCUAGUUGGUGAGGUAACGGCUCACCAAGGCGACGAUGCGUAGCCGACCUGAGAGGGUGAUCGGCCACAUUGGGACUGAGACACGGCCCAGACUCCUACGGGAGGCAGCAGUGGGGAAUAUUGCACAAUGAGGGAAACCCUGAUGCAGCAACGCCGCGUGAGUGAUGAAGGCCUUCGGGUUGUAAAGCUCUUUGAUCAGGGACGAUAAUGACGGUACCUGAAGAACAAGCCACGGCUAACUACGUGCCAGCCGCCGCCGUAAGAC
rnacentral:rRNA from 1 species